AAAGUUAUAACAAGGUCUCUAUUAGUAAACUAGCGGAGGGAUCAUUACAAGAGUUACAAAGCUCUAGACUAUUGUAAACCUACCCCCUAUUGUUGCUUUAGCGGGCGGCCCUAGCCUAAGCUUGGGGCCGUUUAGGCCCGUAUAGGCGCCCGCCGGAGGUAUAUAACCAUUGACCUUUUGUACGGCCUCUCUAAGUCUCUAGUACCUAAAUGGGGUUAAAACUUUCAACAACGGAUCUCUUGGUUCUA
rnacentral:misc_RNA from 1 species